rnacentral:rRNA from 1 species
CCUACGGGAGGCAGCAGUAGGGAAUCUUCCGCAAUGGGCGAAAGCCUGACGGAGCAACGCCGCGUGAGUGAUGAAGGUCUUCGGAUCGUAAAACUCUGUUAUUAGGGAAGAACAAAUGUGUAAGUAACUAUGCACGUCUUGACGGUACCUAAUCAGAAAGCCACGGCUAACUACGUGCCAGCAGCCGCGGUAAUACGUAGGUGGCAAGCGUUAUCCGGAAUUAUUGGGCGUAAAGCGCGCGUAGGCGGUUUUUUAAGUCUGAUGUGAAAGCCCACGGCUCAACCGUGGAGGGUCAUUGGAAACUGGAAAACUUGAGUGCAGAAGAGGAAAGUGGAAUUCCAUGUGUAGCGGUGAAAUGCGCAGAGAUAUGGAGGAACACCAGUGGCGAAGGCGACUUUCUGGUCUGUAACUGACGCUGAUGUGCGAAAGCGUGGGGAUCAAACAGGAUUAGAUACCCUGGUAGUCCACGCCGUAAACGAUGAGUGCUAAGUGUUAGGGGGUUUCCGCCCCUUAGUGCUGCAGCUAACGCAUUAAGCACUCCGCCUGGGGAGUACGACCGCAAGGUUGAAACUCAAAGAUAGUAGCGNGNGAGAGCGACGACGACGACGAGGAGGAGGNGG